UAAUUGCAGCCUCUCUAAAUUUGUUUGCCCCAUUAAUACCUGCCACUAUCAAUUAUUUAAUUCCUCCUCAGCUGUUUGAAUGCUCGUUUCAAACUGAGCCUUACAUGGAUUUAUUUGUUUGUUUCUGACCAGAAGAUAGCAGUUUUUUAAACCACAAGAUGUGUUUUCUACUCCAUGAGCCCUGUAAUUUGAAGCAAUUAAUUAACCUAAAGGCUGAUGCAAAUGGCAGUGAGUGACCAGGAAUCGCUGUUCAGAAGUGACCUCUCCCACACACCUUCAUGCUGGCUCUGCUGGAACCCUGCUAGGGCUCCUUCCCACAAGAUGUGUCUGAACAGGAGGCAUCCAGGCUCUGCCCUUUUCCAGCAGCAGGAAGCGGUUUCAGAGUUCCUCCUUUGGGUUCAUGCCACCCAAACAUGGAUAUUUUUCUGGUAAAUACAGCAUGCAUGCAGCCCGCUUGACCUCGGUAAAUACUGAGUGAGCCUGUGUGUAAACUUGAGGCCAGCACACAGUUGGUGACUUGGAGAGGCUGCUCUGGCAGCAGGGACCUGCCAUCAAUCACAACCUGCUUCUAGGGUGUCAGCCCUUGCAAGCAGAGCAGGCUCUGUUAGUCAGUAAAAACUCCAGAUGAGGAAGAGCUUACUGGUGACAAAGCAGCACUGCUGUCUGAGGAAAUUAAUCUGUGGCACUGCAAUUUGUUUGUGUAACAACAAAUCCAUACCUUUCCCCAAAUUAGUCACUGUCAGUUGUUUUCCUGGUUGCUAGCAGGUAUCACCUGAAUCUUCCUAACUAGACUGAGUCCCAAAUUGUUCCAAACUACCCCCUGGUCAGCUUGUUAUAGAGGAGUGAAUUCUCCAUUCACAAACUCUGUAAAUUUGUUUCCUUCAUUAAAUCCCUACUUUGGGAUGUCCAUGUUUUUAAA